AACGUACGCUGGCGGCACGCCUAACACAUGCAAGUCGAACGAAGUAGCAAUACUUAGUGGCAGACGGGUGAGUAACAUGUAGGUAUCUGCCCUUUGGCCUGGAAUAACACGAGGAAACUUGUGCUAAUACCGGAUAAGUCUUUACGGAGAAAGCUUUAUGCACCAUUGGAUGAGCCUGCACUUGAUUAGUUUGUUGGUGGGGUAAUGGCCUACCAAGACUGUGAUCAAUAGCUGAUUUGAGAGGAUGAUCAGCCACAUUGGGACUGAGACACGGCCCAAACUCCUACGGGAGGCAGCAGUGGGGAAUCUUGCACAGUGGAGGAAACUCUGAUGCAGCGAUGCCGCGUGAGUGAAGAAGGCCUUUGGGUUGUAAAGCUCUUUCGUCGGGGAAGAAAAUGACUGUACCCGAAUAAGAAGGUCCGGCUAACUUCGUGCCAGCAGCCGCGGUAAUACGAAGGGACCUAGCGUAGUUCGGAAUUACUGGGCUUAAAGAGUUCGUAGGUGGUUGAAAUAGUUGGUGGUGAAAUCCCAGAGCUUAACUCUGGAACUGCCAUCAAAACUUUUCAGCUAGAGUAUGAUAGAGGAAAGCAGAAUUUCUAGUGUAGAGGUGAAAUUCGUAGAUAUUAGAAAGAAUACCAAUUGCGAAGGCAGCUUUCUGGAUCAUUACUGACACUGAGGAACGAAAGCAUGGGUAGCGAAGAGGAUUAGAUACCCUCGUAGUCCAUGCCGUAAACGAUGUGUGUUAGACGUUGGAAAUUUAUUUUCAGUGUCGCAGGGAAACCGAUAAACACACCGCCUGGGGAGUACGACCGCAAGGUUAAAACUCAAAUGAAUUGACGGGGACCCGCACAAGUAGUGGAGCAUGUGGUUUAAUUCGAAGAUACGCGCAGAACCUUACCAACACUUGACAUGUUCGUCGCGACUCUAAGAGAUUAGAGUUUUCGGUUCGGCCGGACGAAACACAGGUGCUGCAUGGCUGUCGUCAGCUCGUGUCGUGAGAUGUUGGGUUAAGUCCCGCAACGAGCGCAACCCUCACUUUUAGUUGCCAUCAUUAAGUUGGGCACUCUGAAAGAACUGCCAGUGAUAAGCUGGAGGAAGGUGGGGAUGACGUCAAGUCCUCAUGGCCCUUACGUGUUGGGCUACACACGUGCUACAAUGGUAUCUACAACAGGAAGCAAAACUGCGAAGUUAAGCAAAUCCCUAAAAGAUACCUCAGUUCGGAUUGCACUCUGCAACUCGAGUGCAUGAAGCUGGAAUUACUAGUAAUCGUGGAUCAGCGUGCCACGGUGAAUGCGUUCCCGGGUCU
rnacentral:rRNA from 1 species